rnacentral:ncRNA from 2 species
CAAGUAUAUACUAAAAUUGUUCAUUUAAAAAUCAAAAGAAGUGAUUGGGGAAACUGGUUAGAUUCCAGUACAGUGCCGCUACGGUAAGUCCAGCCCCACUUUUACAGAAUAAUUUUUUAUUUAAACUUAUAUUAGGUUUAGAUAAAUCUUGAAAAUAAAAAAUUGUCUGAAAGACAAUUUUUUCAGGAAGUUGUUUUGUAAAAGUGGAGCUGGAACAAGUCCGAAUACCAAUCAUUUUAUUAUUCCCGAG